rnacentral:rRNA from 1 species
AUUGAACGCUGGCGGCAUGCCUUACACAUGCAAGUCGAACGGCAGCACGGGAGCAAUCCUGGUGGCGAGUGGCGAACGGGUGAGUAAUAUAUCGGAACGUGCCCAGUAGUGGGGGAUAACUGCUCGAAAGAGCAGCUAAUACCGCAUACGACCUGAGGGUGAAAGGGGGGGGAUCGCAAGACCUCUCGCUAUUGGAGCGGCCGAUAUCAGAUUAGCUAGUUGGUGGGGUAAAGGCCUACCAAGGCAACGAUCUGUAGUUGGUCUGAGAGGACGACCAGCCACACUGGGACUGAGACACGGCCCAGACUCCUACGGGAGGCAGCAGUGGGGAAUUUUGGACAAUGGGCGAAAGCCUGAUCCAGCCAUACCGCGUGCGGG